AGAGUUUGAUCAUGGCUCAGGACGAACGCUGGCGGCGUGCCUAAUACAUGCAAGUCGAGCGAACCACUUCGGUGGUGAGCGGCGGACGGGUGAGUAACACGUGGGCAAUCUGCCUGUUAGACUGGAAUAACGCCUGGAAACGGGUGCUAAUGCCAGAUAGGCUACUUGGGGGCAUCCUCGAGUAGGGAAAGAUGCGUAUG
rnacentral:rRNA from 1 species